rnacentral:lncRNA from 1 species
UCAGGAAUACAUCAACACCUUAUGUACUCCCCCACCCUCAGCUGUAAGCACCUCUGCACAACUCAGGUUCCUCGGGCAUUUGCAAUACCCAAUUCCGCGGCAACUCCAACCACGGACUGCAAACUGAUUCUUCAUAAUCAUUGCCCCAUCGUCUGUCACAUGACUAAGGCCUUAACCAUUUCUCCAUCCUGAGAAUGACUUGGAAAUCCUUACAGGAU